GUGUGACUGCGUACCUUUUGUAUAAUGGGUCAGCGACUUAUAUUCUGUAGCAAGGUUAACCGAAUAGGGGAGCCGAAGGGAAACCGAGUCUUAACUGGGCGUUAAGUUGCAGGGUAUAGACCCGAAACCCGGUGAUCUAGCCAUGGGCAGGUUGAAGGUUGGGUAACACUAACUGGAGGACCGAACCGACUAAUGUUGAAAAAUUAGCGGAUGACUUGUGGCUGGGGGUGAAAGGCCAAUCAAACCGGGAGAUAGCUGGUUCUCCCCGAAAGCUAUUUAGGUAGCGCCUCGUGAAUUCAUCUCCGGGGGUAGAGCACUGUUUCGGCAAGGGGGUCAUCCCGACUUACCAACCCGAUGCAAACUGCGAAUACCGGAGAAUGUUAUCACGGGAGACACACGGCGGGUGCUAACGUCCGUCGUGAAGAGGGAAACAACCCAGACCGCCAGCUAAGGUCCCAAAGUCAUGGUUAAGUGGGAAACGAUGUGGGAAGGCCCAGACAGCCAGGAUGUUGGCUUAGAAGCAGCCAUCAUUUAAAGAAAGCGUAAUAGCUCACUGGUCGAGUCGGCCUGCGCGGAAGAUGUAACGGGGCUAAACCAUGCACCGAAGCUGCGGCAGCGACACUGUGUGUUGUUGGGUAGGGGAGCGUUCUGUAAGCCUGUGAAGGUGUCUGUGAGGCAUGCUGGAGGUAUCAGAAGUGCGAAUGCUGACAUAAGUAACGAUAAAGCGGGUGAAAAGCCCGCUCGCCGGAAGACCAAGGGUUCCUGUCCAACGUUAAUCGGGGCAGGGUGAGUCGACCCCUAAGGCGAGGCCGAAAGGCGUAGUCGAUGGGAAACAGGUUAAUAUUCCUGUACUUGGUGUUACUGCGAAGGGGGGACGGAGAAGGCUAUGUUGGCCGGGCGACGGUUGUCCCGGUUUAAGCGUGUAGGCUGGUUUUCCAGGCAAAUCCGGAAAAUCAAGGCUGAGGCGUGAUGACGAGGCACUACGGUGCUGAAGCAACAAAUGCCCUGCUUCCAGGAAAAGCCUCUAAGCAUCAGGUAACAUCAAAUCGUACCCCAAACCGACACAGGUGGUCAGGUAGAGAAUACCAAGGCGCUUGAGAGAACUCGGGUGAAGGAACUAGGCAAAAUGGUGCCGUAACUUCGGGAGAAGGCACGCUGAUAUGUAGGUGAAGUCCCUCGCGGAUGGAGCUGAAAUCAGUCGAAGAUACCAGCUGGCUGCAACUGUUUAUUAAAAACACAGCACUGUGCAAACACGAAAGUGGACGUAUACGGUGUGACGCCUGCCCGGUGCCGGAAGGUUAAUUGAUGGGGUCAGCGCAAGCGAAGCUCUUGAUCGAAGCCCCGGUAAACGGCGGCCGUAACUAUAACGGUCCUAAGGUAGCGAAAUUCCUUGUCGGGUAAGUUCCGACCUGCACGAAUGGCGUAAUGAUGGCCAGGCUGUCUCCACCCGAGACUCAGUGAAAUUGAACUCGCUGUGAAGAUGCAGUGUACCCGCGGCAAGACGGAAAGACCCCGUGAACCUUUACUAUAGCUUGACACUGAACAUUGAGCCUUGAUGUGUAGGAUAGGUGGGAGGCUUUGAAGUGUGGACGCCAGUCUGCAUGGAGCCGACCUUGAAAUACCACCCUUUAAUGUUUGAUGUUCUAACGUGGACCCGUGAUCCGGGUUGCGGACAGUGUCUGGUGGGUAGUUUGACUGGGGCGGUCUCCUCCUAAAGAGUAACGGAGGAGCACGAAGGUUGGCUAAUCCUGGUCGGACAUCAGGAGGUUAGUGCAAUGGCAUAAGCCAGCUUGACUGCGAGCGUGACGGCGCGAGCAGGUGCGAAAGCAGGUCAUAGUGAUCCGGUGGUUCUGAAUGGAAGGGCCAUCGCUCAACGGAUAAAAGGUACUCCGGGGAUAACAGGCUGAUACCGCCCAAGAGUUCAUAUCGACGGCGGUGUUUGGCACCUCGAUGUCGGCUCAUCACAUCCUGGGGCUGAAGUAGGUCCCAAGGGUAUGGCUGUUCGCCAUUUAAAGUGGUACGCGAGCUGGGUUUAGAACGUCGUGAGACAGUUCGGUCCCUAUCUGCCGUGGGCGCUGGAGAACUGAGGGGGGCUGCUCCUAGUACGAGAGGACCGGAGUGGACGCAUCACUGGUGUUCGGGUUGUCAUGCCAAUGGCACUGCCCGGUAGCUAAAUGCGGAAGAGAUAAGUGCUGAAAGCAUCUAAGCACGAAACUUGCCCCGAGAUGAGUUCUCCCUGACCCUUUAAGGGUCCUGAAGGAACGUUGAAGACGACGACGUUGAUAGGCCGGGUGUGUAAGCGCAGCGAUGCGUUGAGCUAACCGGUACUAAUGAACCGUGAGGCUUAACCU
rnacentral:rRNA from 1 species